CAAAAAGUAGUUUAAGCUAAAAUACUGGUUUUGGGGACCAGGGAUAGGGUUACCUCUUUUUGA
rnacentral:tRNA from 1 species